AAAUCAUGCUCAAUUAAUACAUUUCAAGAAAGAAACAAAAUCAAUUAAUUACACGUAGAUCAAAUUUGUCAAUCGAAAAUGUCAAAUGAACACAAUCCCCAAAAGAAAAAACUAAACCUGCUAAUCAAUAUUCAAUUUCAACUAAAUUUUUCCGAGCAUCUGCGAGGUUAAAUCUGUGAAUUUUCGCCAUGACUAGUUUGAUUUUCAUCAUUGUUCUUCUCUGCUUUGCUUUUUGCAUUUUUCCUUGUCUUCUUCUCGUUUUCCGAAUUUGGACUAGAUUUAUCUCAACAAUCACUCAAUUGAUACCGAUAUUUGUGGAUCAAAAGCUGGUGAAGGUGAUCGCAGCUUUGUGCUUGAGCGAUAAUUGAAGUAUGAAUCGAAGCCGAAAAAGCGGCAACUCAUGGCCGCUGAAACUCACUUUUAGCUUACAAAGAGGCUUUUAGCAAAUGGGCCUAUCGUCUUUCUCAAAGCCCCUUUUGUUCCAUCACAACUUAAAUGGAUAGAAUUCCUCAUCCCUAAGUUUCGAUUUUUCACACCCUUUUGCUUCGAUUACGACAUUUUGCGAUUCUUUCCGGCUAGGAAUGGCAUAGGGCGUGCUUGACAAUAGCUGAAUCUGCAUUUUGAGUGGAAGUUGUGAACGGAACUGUUGAGACACUGGAUUCACAAAAAUCGACUGAUGGACUUGGAGUUUCACGUCAUCUGUGUAAGAUAUCGACUUCGGGGAUUAUUGAAACUGGGCAGGUUCUGGAUGUAGCCUGGUUUUUGAGAUAGAACAUGAUCAGCUCUUCAUCGGUGGGGUGAAAUCUGAAACCUGGAGGAAGAUCAGUGCUAGAAUGCUAUGAGGGGAAGGAGAAGGAGAGGGAGAAGUGUUUGAAAUGUUUGCAAGGCAAUAGCUCCUCUAUUUAUAUCUCAACAUUUUUGUCAUCUUGUGAGGUAAAAUCACUUGGGAUUGGCUGCUUUCUUGACUUUAC